rnacentral:rRNA from 1 species
GGAAGUGGGGGAUGACGUCAAGUCCUCAUGGCCCUUAUGGGUAGGGCUUCACACGUCAUACAAUGGUCGGUACAGAGGGUUGCCAAGCCGCGAGGUGGAGCCAAUCCCUUAAAGCCGAUCGUAGUCCGGAUCGUAGUCUGCAACUCGACUACGUGAAGUCGGAAUCGCUAGUAAUCGCAGAUCAGCAUGCUGCGGUGAAUACGUUCCCGGGUCUU